CAUCCUUAUUAAACCACAGUUGACUGUUCUUCCCUGAAAUUUGACGAAUAAUUUAUCUUCCCAUUUGUCGUAGCAACGGAUGCAUUCCUAAUUUCCUGUUCUUAUCAUGAGACUACGCUAUAUGAGAACUCUUAUUCCACUAUCCGCGUCUAUUCCACAGCCAUUUAGGAACUUAGUAACAUAGACUCUGUCCUUACCAACAAAGGAAAGAACAUACAUCAAGGAAUAAAUCUUUUUCCAUUUGAUUGUGUAACCCGUCGAAACUUGUUUUCAAUAUUGUGUAAAAUAAAUAUGAAUUUAACUAUGAGCUAUACUCAAAGAAAAACAAGGAAAGGAUCAGAAAGAUAAAUUGCACUAUAGGACACAAGGAUUAAUUCCAUAACUCAAGGGAUCCUGCUUUUCUCAAAGAAGAUGAAUGAAUUGUAAUAAGGACACACGGAUUGAUUCCAUAACUCAAGGGAUCCUGUUAUGUUCUCAAUGAAGAACAUUAACUCAGCAGAAGUCACACAUUACCAUUUUCUUAAAGAAUUUAAUUAAGGUAUUUUCCAUUGGCUCAAGGCAAGAAUCCAUUUCCAAGUCAUUUGAUUCACCAUAUAUCAGAUAGGCAACUGUGUUAUUGACCACCAAUCCAUAACCAAAAGUCACAAAAAUCUCCACGUUGUCUCCUGAUCCUAAACUUGACAUUACGCCAUGCCAAUCUUCAUCAUUAAAGGAAAUUACUGCGUCAUGCUUGUGCAUAUGUAACGUGCAGUUUGUGUAAUUAACAAUUAAGACAGUAGUAAGUUUGGGUUCAAUGAUUUUGGAGGUUGAUAAAUAAACAACACACAAAGGCAUUCCCUUUAUCUCACGAUCUCCAGGUACAGUGAAAGAAACAGAAUGUCCCUCACCCUUAUGGGCCAACCAAUAAGGAUCAUUGUCACCCGGGAGAGAAACAUCACAAAACUCACUGCUUACCAAUACCUGCACAAUGAGAUGAAAAGCUUAGUCAAUUAUGUAAUUUUUCAAUUCAAACUGUCUUCUGCAAUUAUUAUUUUAUAAUUCAAAUUACAAAAUGAGAAUUAUAAUCAAAUAAUGUAACUCAUAAUUAAGAAAUACCACUGAUAAUUAAUUUAAACAAAUCUGGCUAAUAGUCUUGUGUAUAUAUAUAACACCAUCAUGUCCUUAGGACUUAGAAUGCAUUUCUGUUUUCGUCUCUUACAGUUUAUAAUUCUACGAUCAUUGGGAAUAAAACAAUUAUGAAGCAAGUAAAGCAAGAAAGUGGAAAUCAAUUUCCUAUUAAAUAGUAUAAAAAAGUAUAAUCACUUGGUUAGUUGAUUAUUAAAAUUAGAUACUUUUAGAUGAAGCUGUGUGAUAAUAGAAGUGAAGAGGUCUAAAAGUUUCAUAUUGUAGUUUCUGUCAGAUACUUCAUCAGGAUUAUUUAAUGUUCUCUUAAUAAUAGCUAGAAUGAUAGUGAAGGUUAUAAACAAAGGGAAAGCUAGAGAAGAACCUUAGAUAUGCUAUCGUUCACAGUAUUGAAGAGUUCAUUGUAUCUUCCAAAACCAAGGAAAGAAGACCUCAACUGAUGCUUUGAAAUUCCUGAUUCUGAAAUAUUUGCACCAUAUUCGACCAGAAUAGUUUUUACUUGCUUAGAUUGCUGAAACUCGGUAUCACAUUGCACCAAAACACUUCGAAGAUUUCAAAGAAUUUUAAACAACGGUGCAAUAUCAUCCCGACUACUAUCCUCCUCAUCCAUGCAAACCAAAUGAAUAUAAGAUAGGGGAUCCAUUGUUGGUGACAUCCAAGACCUAAUGAUAGAAGGAAAAAGAUUAUGUGACAAUCCCUCAAAUCCACUUAGGGAUAUAUAUCCAAUGCUUUUUGAGUAUACAAUUGAAAAAGGCACUUGUUUGACAACUGUAUUUUCAGCAAUUAGUGUUAUCAAGGAUUCCAUCUGCACUAUAUCUUUUUCCAAUAGGUCAAUCUUCGAACAACCAGAAAGAAUGAGAGUUUUCAAACAUUUCAACUUAUAUAUCUUUCUGGGCAGAUUGCUUAGACUUGUACAAUCCUUCAAAUUUAGCAGUAUAAGAUUGCAGAGACAUCCAAUAGAAGGGUGUACUUCGCGCAAUCUUGGGCAAUCUUUGAGAAUGAGCUGUUCAAGACUUGGUAGUCCCGAAAUGUCAGGGGUUUUUGUCAAGUACUUGGAGUGACUAAGAUUAAGGACUUUUAGCCACGCCAAAACCUUCAAGAAGAUAGUUUUUUGAUAAAAUAUUAGAAAAGAAAAUAAAAUAGUUAUAAAUGAAAACAAAUAAUGCUUAUUUUAAGCUGAAAUUGAAAAGAAAAUGGUACGUCAUAAAAACCUGGGGUUCAUUCCAGACGAAUCGAAGAAGACUGUAUUUUAAAUCAAUUGCUAUUGCAUAAUGCAGAAAAAAGUCAUUAGGAAGGUAUUCUGAAGAAAACCCUUGCAAACUGAACCAUCUCAGUUUCAUAUAGUGGUACUCAUAAUUUUCUGCGAAUCUCAGCAGGCUUGAUGUGUCUCUUACCACUAAAGGAUAACGGUGGAAGAAAUCUUUUGUUGUUAAAAGCAUUUUCAAAGGCAAUCUCUGAAUGGGCUCAUUGGAUUUAUCCGAAAAACAGAAUCAACUUCAUGAAUCCUCAGUAUGUGUUCAUCUCUCGUUGUAAUGAUUAUUAUAGUUCCUCCACUGAAGCAACGGCGGCAUUCCCAUAGGUCGAGUAAUGCACAAAACUCAGGCACAUCAUCAAGUACAAUGAACACCCUUUUCCCAGAAAGUCUUUCACGAAUCAUUCUUUUUCCCAUCUCAACGCUGCUUAUCUUCACCUUUGUUUUUAGGACAUCUGAGAGAAGUUGUUCUUGUAAACGAAGAUCCCCUCUUAUUCCACUAAAUUGUCCAAUAUCUUCAAUGAAACUUUUCUCCGUGAAUGUACCAUGAAUUUGAUUAUAGAUGGCUUUUGCAAGGGUAGUUUUACCACAUCCUCCCUGUCCACAUAUCGCUAUCCUACAAUCCUCCGUGGAUUUACUUUUGAUAGUUCUAAUCAGAUCCUCCACUUGGUAUUGUAACCCAACUGGAAAUUUAGUAGCAGACAAGACUGGUAAAUUAAGAAGGCUUUUAACAAUUUUGUCGACUAGUUCAGCAUCACUCCUUCAAGUUCAAUAGCAAGUAUCGAAGAAGUCAUGUAUUACCAAAAUUAAAUCUCAAGCAUAAAAUUUGGUCAUUGAUUGAGUGAUUUACCUGUGGUUGCUUUCAUCCCAUCCAAAUAAAUUUGCAGCUUUGGUGAGUGCCUGGCUCCAUCUGGACGUGCCAUGCUCCAGUUGUUGUCCUGAAAAUGUUUGGUGUGCCGUUUCUUUGAAAGCUUUACCAAAAUCACCCAUCUGAAGACGUACAUCAGAUGGCUCAAUUUCGUAAUAAACGGGCAGUUUGGAUGUCGAAGACAGCAAUUCCAUGGAAGGAAUUGAUGAGGUCAUGAACUAUUACAAGAAGAGAAAGCAAUAAUGCAACAAAGUACGCCGAAGAUUAAGACUUUUUCUUUUUAUACUUGUGGAAUCGAGUUAAGACCAUAAGAGACCCUUCUUUACUUUAGCAUUUAAGAUAUGGCUAAUUCUUUAUGCAAGUGAAGUAAAUUGAAAAAGUAAAUCUUGAAAAGAUUCUUGUAUUCUUAAAUUGUAAAAUCAAAAUCUCAUUUUGAAAAAAAUAUUAUAGAAUCAAAAAUACAUUUUAGAAAAUAAAUUUUGGAAAACAAAAUCCAUAAAGUUAUAUAAUGGAAUUAAAAAAGUGUUCUAAAAAUCUAAAUCUGAAAAUGUAUUAUAAGAGGUUCCAAAAUGUAUUUUGAUCCACUCCCCCUCUUUAUUUAAGGGUAUUUUUGUCUUUUCAGAUAAAAAUCGGAUGUAAGUUCAAAUUUCAUUGGGUGGAAGAAGUAAUUGCCUUAAGAUAAUAGGCUAACACUCACUUUGAAUCAUAAAAAAGAAAAUAUCAAUAAUUACAAAAAAAAUUGUAAUUAUAUUUUUAUACUUUUUAAUUUAAGAACAUUACAUUAUCUCUUCUUUUAUUUUAGUCAUAUAUCCCUUUUAAGUUUAAAAAAUAAAAAAAUACAUUAUAUUUUUUUUCAUAUUUGUGUAUAUCUAAAGAGGUCAUUGUAAUAUAGAUCACAACCUUCAAGAAAACACUCAAACUGCUGAGCACUUCUAUCAUACACUGAACGAAUUGAGGCCAAAAAAGUUAAGAGAUCCAAAUGUCAAAGGACUGAGCGAAUCCAAAAAGGUUGAGCGCAAAGAUUCAUUCACCAUGAAGAAAGCCAAAAUUUGCUCACGAAAGACUUGAAGUCAUCAUGCACCAAAAUUAGAAGGAAAAGGAUUUCGCUUGAAGCAAAGCCCAAGCAAAAAUCACUUCAUGGCUAAGAAAGAGAAAGUGUUGGGCUCAGGUUGGAAUGAAUCCUUGAUAGAUAGAUCCUUAAAUCUAAGAAUCCCAAGAAGCCCAAGAACUUGUCUUGAAGCCCAAAGAUUACUCUAGCCUAAACAUAUGUGCUAUAUUGUUAUUGUUAGAAUUAGUGGCCUAAACAAGAGGGGAAGUGAAUUAUUUUCAUAAGAUUUUUGCAAAGAUUGGAAAUAGAGUGAAAAGUUCUAAAUCAACCAAUUGAUUUUCUGUUCAACUGGAUAAAAAUUUAGUUUUAAUGUUCUUUACAGAAAUUCAACCGGUUGUUUUCUCGAAACAAGAGGUUGGUUAAACCAGUAGAAAAAGAACAAUUAUUAAAACAAUAUAAAAGAAAAGGGAUAGAGAGAUUCACGCACAAAGGUUUAUACUAGUUUACUCUUAACCAAGAGCUACAUCCAGUCCUCAACUAACCAAUGAGAAUUCACUAUGUAAUCAAACCUAGAUUACAAACCACACACCAAGAAACCACACACCAAGAGUGAUAUCUUGAACCCCUCAAGAAUCACCACCUUGGCAACACCACAAUUUUCAUAAACACCUUUUUGAAACUACCUUUCACCAAAUACACCGAAUUAUAGUGUUCAAAGUGAAGGAAAAGAAUACACAUGGGCUUUACAAAGUAGAAGAACAUAAGUAUACAAAGACCCAGUCCUAUUCCACACACAAGUGAUGAUCCAAAACUCUUGAACUCUUGAAAAACGUUUUUCAUCAUCUUUCUUUCUUUGGUUCUUGAAAAGAAUAUCAAAUAACCUUUAUAUAGACUUAAGCAAGUGGUCAAAGUUGUUAGAUCAUAAAUCAAAAGAAGUUGGAAUCAUUUAAAAACAGUUCAAAACACUUCAUAAAAUUUUGUUAUAAAAACAACAAAUUGACAGCAAAGCCAAAACAAAGCAAAGUUUUCCCAAAUCAUUUUAAAAACCACUAAGUGUCAAACAACCAAUUGUUUCGACAAUUCAACAUGUUGAAAUUUCACGACUUUUUAGAAAACACUUCUUUUCAAAAAAGAUAAAGAAUCAAGUGAGCUUGGAUCAAUACAAGGAGUGAAUUAACAAGUAAAAAACUACUAGACAACACACACACAUAGCAGCAGGGUCUUCAAGCUUUUCACAUAGAUUUGGAGACAUCAAAUCAUCUUGUUCAACAGUUAUUCUUUUACUUUCAAUAUCUUGUUAAUAGAGUAAGUGGAAAGUAUUUUUAAAAAGGGUAAAAUAAUAUUUUCCAAAUAUGAUGAGGUGCAGGAAGAAACAUUCUUAAAAUUAACAUCAAUAAAAAAAUAGUAACUCUAUGACCAUCAUUGUACCAACAACACAGGCUUUCCCCAAAUUUUUUAUUGUAUAUCUAAAGCUGAGCUUACUUAGAUUAUCCAAGGCAAGUUUCUCAUUAGAUAUCUAGUCAGCCAAAACGUGCAACAAUUUAUUUUGAAUGCCAAUAAGAGCAACUUGUUUAUUUUAAUUACCUUUUUCGUCUCUACAUUUAGAUUCAAUAGUGAAUUUAAUACCGUGGUUUUUAAAAAAAUCAAUUUGAUUCCUAAGUUUUUUAAAAUGUAUUCAAAAUAAUCAUUUCUGUUAAAUUUUUACCAACGACAUUAACAGUUGAUGACGUGGCACACAGUAUAUAAGUCUAGGCACGUGACAUAUACGUGUCACAUAAGACGUUGAGACUAUAGUCUUUUACCGUUCAACCUUGCGCCGGUCACAUUCACCGCCAUUCAGAUGAUUUUUGGAGUAACCGUGGCUAUCAUACUUGGAGGCAAGGAAUCUCACCAAGGAGGAGUACGUCGCGAAUCAUCCCGUCGGCAAGAUCGGGAAGAGUCUCAUCUUUAAGGUCCUUUUUUUAUUCAUUUGUAUCUGUGUUUGAAGGAUUUGUAUAAAACAAGAAGGAUUAAAAAACAAAGCAAAUGUGAAGGCCAAGAGUAUGAAGAAAAGUUUAGGUAGUUUGGUGAGUUGUUCCACUGUGUAGUGUAAGAGAAAGAGAGAGAUAGUGACUCUGAUUCACUCGCCAAACCAUCUGCACAACAUAAUUCAUUAUACAGAUCGCUCUUUCCUCAUUUCUCCCUUAACGGACAAAUAUACCCCUCCCCUCUCCAUAUCAUUUAUAUAAUUCAUUCAUAUUAAAAUAAUAAUCUACAUCUAUAUUAUUUUUCUAAAGUGAAAUGGGUGCUGCAAUUCACGAGCUUCCACGACUAUGAAAAAUAAAUGUAUCUUUGGCUACUUUGAAUGGUUUUGUGUCUUUUUGACUGUGUUGCAUUAUUGCUUUCUCUUCUUCUAACAGUUGACCUCAUCAAUUUCUUCCAUGGAAUCGUCAUCUUCAUUAUCAAAUCUGCCACGGAUGUACGAUGUGCUUAUCAACUUUAAUGGAGAAGACAUCCAAAGGACAUUUGUUUCUCAUCUCGAUUCUGACCUCUCUGCUGUUGGCCUCACCACCUUCCUUCACCACCCCAAUGCAGUCAAUCCAACGCACAUCCAACAACCUAUUCUCAAUCUCUGUCGGGUAGCAAUUGUAGUUUUUACCAAAUCCUAUUCUCAAUCUGCUUGGUGUCUUAAUCAGCUUCAACAAAUCAUCAAAUGGCACCAAACUUAUUGCCGACAUGUUCUGCCCGUUUAUUACGAAAUUCACCCAUCUCAUGUACGUCUUCAAAAGGGUAAUUUUGGAAAAGCCUUCAAAGCAACUGCACACCAAACAUUCUCAGGACAACAACUGAGGCAGGGCAUGUCUAGAUGGAGCCACGCACUCACCAAAGCUGCAAAUUUCUUUGGAUGGGAUGAGAGAAAUCACAGGUAAAACACUGACUCAAUCAACCAUAUUUUAAGCUUCUGAUUUUAUGUUGGUACUACAUGACUUCUUCUAUGAUUGCUAUUGAACUUGAAGGAGUGAUGCUGAACUAGUGGACAAAAUUGUUAAGAUCGUUCUUCAUUUACCAAUCUUGUCUGCUACAAAAUUUCCAGUUGUAUUAGAAUCCCGUGUGAAAGAUGUGAUUCAGAGCAUAAAAAAUAAAUCCACCCAAGUUUUAACUAUACUGAUAUGUGGAAGAGAAGGAUCGGGUAGAACCACUCUUGCCAAAGCCAUCUACAAUCAAAUUCAUCAUACAUUCACGGAGAAAAGUUUCAUUGAAGAUAUUGCAGAAGGUAGUCAAACAAGAGGGUAUGUUCAUUUACAAGAACAACUUCUUUCAGAUGUACUAAAAACAAAGGUGGAGAUAAGUGACGUUGAGAUGGGAAGAAGUAUGAUUUGGGAAAGACUAUAUGGGAAAAGGGUGCUUCUUGUACUUGACGAUUUGAAUGACUAUGGCGAAUUAGAUCUCUGGGGAAGUAGUUCAUGGUUCGGUGAAGGAACUGUAAUAAUCAUUACAGCGAGAGAUGAAGUAGACCUGCCGAGUAUGCUUGAAGUUGAUUCUGUUUUUCAGAUGAUUCCAAUGAACGCAAACGAGUCCCUUGAGCUUCUUAGUUGGCACGCAUUUAGAGAACCAAAACCAAAAAAAGAAUACCGUGUACUUGCAAAAAGAGUAGUUGCUUAUUGUGGAACACUACCUCUAGCUCUCGAAGUCAUUGGAACUUAUUUAUACAAAAGGACGAAAGAUGAAUGGAAUAGAGUAUUGAUAAGAUUAGACAAUAUUCCCCAGCAUGAAGUUCCACAGAUAUUGAAAAUAAGUUUUGACGGUUUAGCUAAUCAAAUAGAAAAAGAUUUAUUCCUUGAUGUAUGUUGUUUCUUUGUUGGUAAAAGCAGAGCCUAUGUUACCAAGAUCCUAAAUGGCUGUGGAGUAGACUCUGAUAGUGGAAUAAGAGUUCUCAUAAAGCGUAACCUCAUCAAAGUUAAAGAAAACAACAAAUUUGGAAUGCAUCAUUUGCUACGAGAAAUGGGAAGAGAAAUUAUUAGUGAAAUUUCAAGAAAGGAAUCUGGGAAGAACAGUCGACUGUGGCCUCAUGAGGAUCUAAAACAUGAAUUUUCAGUGAAUACUGUAAGAGCAUUCUUAAUCUAUGAUUUUGAAACUUCUUUUGGAAGUGGUUGAUUUCUCAUGUGCAAUACAAAUGUUUUUCUUAGCUCUUUUCAUCACCGGGUAAAAAGGUCAUUCAGAGAUUGUCUAGCGGAAGAGAUUUCUUCGAACGUUAUCCUGUAGAGGUAAGAGACCCAUCACCGGAUACAAAAGUCUUCGAACUCGCUGGACUGCUGAAACUCGCUGGAGAUUCCGACGACCAUUCUAAGAAUACCUACCUAACGGCUUUAAUCUGCAUGAUGCAAUAGCGAUUGAUUUAAAACACACUCUUCUUCGAUUCGUCUGGAAAGAACCCCAGGUUUUUAUUACGUGCCAUUUUCUUUUAAAACUCAGCUUAAAAUACAAAUAUUAUUUGUUUCCACUUAUAACUAUAUUAUUUUUUCAUUUUCUUUUCUAAUAUUCUUGAAGGUUUUGGCGUGUCUAAAAGUCCUGAAUCUUAGUCACUCGAAGUACUUGAUAAAAACCCCUGACUUUUCGAGACUACCAAGUCUUGAAGAGCUCAUUCUCAAAGAUUGUCUUAAAUUGCGCGAAGUACACCAAUCUAUUGGAUGUCUCUGCAAUCUUAUACUGCUAAAUUUGAAGGACUGUACAAGUCUAAGCACUCUCCCCAGAGAGAUAUGUAAGUUGAAAUCUUUGAAAACUCUCAUUAUAUCUGGUUGUUGGAAAAUUGACCUAUUGGAAAAAGAUAUAGUGCAAUUGGAAUCCUUGAGAAUUCUAAUUUCUGAAAAUACAGAUGUGAAACAAGUGCCUUUUUCAAUUGUAAGCUCAAAAAGCUUUGCAUAUUUAUUCCUACCUGCAUUUGAGGGAUUAUCACAUAAUCUUUUUCCUUCUGUGAUUCGGUCUCUGAUGUCGCCAACAAUGAAUCCCUUAUCUUAUAUUCAUUCCUUCAUGGAUAUGGAGGAUAAUAGUUGGGAUGAUAUUUCACCAUUGCUCAGCAGCCUUGCAAAUCUUCGAAGUGUUUUGGUGCAAUGUGACGCCAAGUUUGAACUAUAUGAGCAAGUAAAAACUAUAUUGGUCGAGUAUGAUGCAAAUAUUACAGAAUCAGGAAUUUCAAAGCAUAAUUUCAGGUCUUCUCUGACUGGUGUUGGAAGAUACAAAGAAUUCUUCAAUACUGUCAGCGAUAGCAUACCUAAGGUUCUUCUCUAGCCUUCCUUUGAUUAUAACCUUCACCAUAAUUUUAGCUAUUAUUUUUUAGAACAGAAAAUAAUCCUAAUGAAGAUUUAGUAGAAACUACACUACUGAACUUUUAGCACCCUUCGCUUCUAUAGCCCCACGACUUCAUCUAAAAGUAUCUGAGUUGAAUAAUCAAAUAACCAAGUGAUUAUGCUUAUACUAAGUACUUUGAAAUUGAUUUCCACUUUAUUGCUUUACUAGCUUCAUGGUUUUUUUAUUCCUAAUGAUCGUAUAAAUAUAAACUAAUAGAGACAAAAUCAGAAAUGCAAAAUGAUGGUGAUAUAUACACAACAAAACUAUUAACCAGAUUUGUUUUAAUCAUGUAUAACAUUUUUGUUUCACUAAACAUGCCCUUGUUUGUCACAUGAUACAGGUAUUUGCAAGCAGUGAGUCAUGUGAUGUUUCUCUGCCAGGUGACAACGAUCCUUAUUGGUUGGCCCAUAUGGGUGAUGGACAUUCUGUUUCUUUCACUGUGCCUCAAGAUCGUGAGGUNNNNNNNNNNNNNNNNNNNNNNNNNNNNNNNNNNNNNNNNNNNNNNNNNNNNNNNNNNNNNNNNNNNNNNNNNNNNNNNNNNNNNNNNNNNNNNNNNNNNGUUUAUUCAUCAACCUCCGAAAUCAUUGAACCUAAACAUACUAUUGUCUUAAUUGUUAAUUACACGAAGUGCACAUGCCAGAUACACAACCAUGGCACAGUAAUUUCCUUUAAUGAUGAAGAUUGGCAUGGCAUAAUGUCAAAUUUAGGAUCAGGAGACAAGGUGGAGAUUUUUGUGACUUUUGGUCAGGAUUUGGUGAUUAAGAGCACAGCUGUCUACCUGAUAUAUGGUGAGCCAAGGAAAAAUUCCCUCAUUAGAUUCAUAAAGAAAAUUGUAAUGUGACUUUUCUGGUAAGUCAUUUAUCUUCUUUUUGAACAGCAGGAUCAUUUUUUUCCCAUCUUUUCUUUUCUUUAUAGUGUAGCUUAUAGUUAAGAAAUUCAUGUUUAUUUCACCCUGUUCUCACUCCUUAGUGGUGCUUCCUUGGCUUUUCUUGAGCGGUUUAUUGUAUUUGUUUUCUGGAUUUUACUUUUGUCAAUUCUUUUCCCUUUUAGCAUAUAAUAUUUCAAUAGGAAUCCUCUUAAAAUAAGACAUUGCAUUAUGAUAUAAAGACAGCUGCAGUUUGAUAGUUUGCUAUGUGUUUUGUUUUGGUAUCUGGUAGGUAGUCUCUGUUUUCGUUUGAACAUAAUAAACAUUCAAAGGAUAUGUAUAGACACAACCAUCCAAAGGAGACCAAAGAUGAGUACAUUUUUUUUAUAGUGGUGCAAGCACGUUUAAAAAAUUCGACCAACGCACGCCAACUUUGAACCACUGGAAAAAUAAAUAUUAUACUAAUACAAUUCAAAUUUUCUCCAAUAUAUUCCUUUUUUUUAUAUUAUGCGUCCAUUUUUUUAAGUUUUAAAAUAUAACACGUCCAUCUUUGUUUACAUUACCCAUUCACGUCGUUAAGAUAAAUCAUAAACAAAAUAAAAAAAAAAGUAUAAAUCUAAUUUUAAAAAAAUUACGACAAGUCAUUUUUUAUAAACAAGAAACAGGAUAAAAUAGAUGAAUUUGUUAACGACAAUCUUUGAGAAUGAGUUGUUCAAGACUUGGUAUCGAAAAAGUCGGGUUUAUAUAAGUACAUGGAGUGACUAAGAUUAAGAACUUUUAGCCAGGCCAAAACCUUGAAGAAGAUAGUUUUUGAUAAAAUAUUAGAGAAGUAAAUGAGAACACGAAAUAGUUAUAAGUGGAAACAAAUAAUGAUUUUAAAAGAGAAUGACACGUAAUAAAAACCUUGGGUUCUUUCCAAACGAAUCAAAGAAGACUGUGUUUUAAUUCAAUCUCUAUUGCAUCAUGCAGAUAAAUAUCGUUAGAUAGGUAUUCUUAUAAAGGUACUCGGAAUGUCCAGCGAAUUUCAGCACUCUUGAUGGUCUCUUACCUCUAAAGGAUAACUUCCGGUAGGCAAUCUCUGAAUCAAUUUUGUUCUUUUAGAUGAAAAGAGCAAAGAAAAAGAAAUAUAUUGCACAUGAGAAAGCAACCACUUUCAAAAGAAGUUUCAAAAGCAUAGAUAAAGGAUGUUCUUACCGUAUUCUCUGACACUGCAUAUUCUGCAUCCUUAUUAAACAGCAGUUGACUGUUCUUCCCUGAAAUUUGACGAAUAAUUUAUCUUCUCAUUUGUCGUAGCAACGGAUGCAUUCCUAAUUUCUUGUUCUUAUUAUGAGACUACGUUAUAUGAGAACUCUUAUUCCACUAUCAGCGUCUAUUCCACAGCCAUCUGUCCUUACCAACAAAGGAAAGAACAUACAUCAAGGAAUAAAUCAAGCUAUUAUUUCGCAGAAAGGUACUCGGAGUCUGCAUCCAGUUUCAGAAGUCUUGAUGAGUCUCUUACACCUACAGGAAAGUUUGCAAAUGUAAUACUUUUGUUUUAAAUUAUGUAAAUAUGUCAAUUUUGAUUUUAAAUCCAAUCAGAUAGUUUGAUGUAUCAUUUGUCACUUCAACAGGUUUGUGCUGAAAGAAGUGGUGAGGAAAUCAGUAGGAAUGCUGAAAGCCAACAAUGCUGGUGCGAGGGGACCUAUGUUAUAUAUGCAGAUUUUUUACAAGCAGAUGAAGUGAUUGGUUCUUUGGAAAGUGCAUAUUUGUUCCUGUCCAAGUAAGAAGGUAAACCCGACAUGCUGGCUUAGAUCUUGUGAUGUGCAAGAGCAGAGAAAAAAGUUUGUUUGAGUGUAAAACUGUUUGAUUUUCUUCGUGGGUGAAUACUCAUCCGUUUGAGUGUGAAACUGUUUGAAAUUUGUCGCGUUUUGUCUAAAAUUCAGUGGAGAUUCUUACGUGGAAUUCUGGGAAAAAACUAUUUUGGGAGAAUUUUUCAGAAAUUUUGUGCAAACCAAGGCUAUCCUCUACAGAAAACUUGUGAAAUUUCGCCCUAGUAUCUGAAAUUUUAUUUUGGGUCCGUAUUGCGUUGAAAAAAUUCACACAAAAACUUUCAUAUGUUGUUUGCACCCAGGUAAGGAGGCACGUCCAAAAAAAAAUCACAAAAAGAAGAUACUGGAAGAAAAGCCAGGACGUUUUGUUUGCAGAAAACCAAUUUUGUUCACUCUCGGUCUGAGACUUACUACGCCUUACUUCUUGGGUAUUUUGGUCUGAAAUUUUUACCAGAAGUUCGUCACUGUGUCUACUGAGUUUUGGCUGAGUUUUCAGGCCUAGAUUCGUCCCACGAGACUGUGAAUAAAUUUUUUAUUCAUCACUGUCAGCGUUGAGAGGAAGGUUCGUUUGAGUGUGAAACGUUUUGAUUUUCUUCGUUCGUGAAUACUCAUCCGUUUGACCUGAAAUUUCUCGGUUUUGUCCCAAAUUAUGUGGAGAUUCUUACGUGUAAUUUCAGGAAAAAACUAUUUCGGGAGAAUUUUUCAUAAAUUUUGUGCAAACCAACUCUACCAAAACUUGUGAAAUUUGCCCUAGUAUUUGAAAUUUUAUUCAGGGUCCGUAUUGCGCUGAAAAAAAUUCACACAAGUACUUUCAUAUGUUUUUGGCCUCUAGGUAAGGAGGCACGUCUAAAAACAAAUCACAAAAACAAGAUACGAGGGAGAAAAACGAGGACAUUUUGUUUUCAGAAAACCAGUUCUGUUCACUUUUGGUCUGGGACUUACUACGCCUUACUCCUUGGGUAUUUUGGUCUGAAAUUUUGACCAGACGUUCGUCAUUAUUUCUACUGAGUUUUGCCAGAGAUUUGAGCCCGAGAUUCGUCUCACGAGACUGUCAAUAAAUUUUUUAUUCGCGUCAGGGCUGAGAUGAAGGUUUGUUUGUGAAUGAAACAGUUUGAUUUUUUUCGUGGGUGAAUACUCAUCCGUUUAACCUGAAAUUUGUCGAGUUUUGUCCCAAAUACAGUGGAGAUUCUUACGUGGAAUUCUAGGAAAAAACUAUUUCGGGAUAAGUUUUCAGAAAUUUUGUGCAAACCAAGGCUAUCCUCUACCUAAACUUCUGAAAUUUCGCCCUAGUAUCUGAAAUUUUAUUCUGGGUCCGUAUUGCGCUGAAAAAAUUCACAAAAGUACUUUCAUAUGUUGUUUGCAACCAGGUAAGGAGGCACGUCCAUAAACAAAUCACAAAAAGAAGAUACGGGGGAGAAAAGCCAGGAUGAUUUGUUUUGGAAAACCAGUUUUGUUCACUCUCGGUCUAGGACUUACGACGCCUUACUUCUUCGGUGUUUUGGUAUGAAAUUUUUACCAGACGUUUGUCACUGUGUCUAAUGAGUUUUGGCUGAGAUUUGAGCCCCAGAUUCGUCCCACUGUGUCAAUAAAUUUUUUAUUCAUCACUGUCAGGGCAGAGAGGAAGGUUCGUUUGUGUGUGAAACUGUUUGAUUUUUUUCGUGGGUGAAUAGUCAUCCAUUUGACCUGAAAUUUGUCGCGUUUUGUCUCAAAUUCAGUGUAGAUUCUUACGUGAUAUUUGAGGAAAAAAACUAUUUUGGGAGAAUCUUUCAGAAAUUUUGAAAUUUCGCCCUAGUAUCUGAAAUUAUAUUAUGGGUCCGUAUUGCGUUGAAAAAAAUCACACAAGUACUUUCAUAUGUUGUUUUCACCCAGGUAAGGAGGCACAUCCAUAAACAAAUCACAAAAAGAAGAUACGGGGGAGAAACACCAAGACGUUUUGUUUGCGGAAAACUAGUUUUGUUCAAUCUCCGUCUGGCAAUUACUACGCCUUACUCCUUGGGUAGUUUGGUCUGAAAUUUGUAGCAGACGUUCAUCACUGUUUCUACUGAGUUUUGGCUGAGAUUUGAGCCCCAGAUUCGUCCCACUAGACGGUGAAUAAAUUUUUUAUUCAUCACUGCCAGGGUUGAGAGGAAGGUUUGUUUCUGUGUCAAACUGUUUGAUUGUUUUCGUGGGUGAAUACUCAUCCGUUUGACCUAAAAUUUGUCGAAUUUUGUCCCAAAUUCAGUGCAGAUUCGUACAUGAAAUUUCAGGAAAAAACUAUUUCGGGAGAAUUUUUAAAAAAUUUUGUGCAAACCAACUCUACCAAAAACUUGUGAAAUUUGCCCUAGUAUUUGAAAUUUAUUCAAGGUCCGUAUUGCGCUGAAAAAAUUCACACAAGUACUUUCAUAUGUCGUUUGCACCCAGGUAAGGAGGCACGUCCAAAAACAAAUCAGGAAAAGAAGAUACGGGGGAGAAAAACCCGGACGUUUUGUUUUCGGAAAACCAGUUUUGUUCAAUAUUUGUCUGGGACUUACUACAUCUUACUCCUUGGGUAUUUUGGUCUAAAAUUUUGACCAGACGUUCGUCACUGUGUCUACUGAGUUUUGGCUGAGAUUUGAGCCCUAGAUACGUCCCACGAGACAGUGAAUAAAGUUUUUAUUCACCACUGCCAGAGUUGAGAGGAAGGUUUGUUUGUGAGUGAAAGUGUUUGAUUUUUUUCGUGGGUGAAUAAUCACCCAUUUGACCUUAAAUUUGUCGCGUUUUUUCCCAAAUUCAGUGGAGAUUCUUACGUGGAAUUUCAGAAAAAAACUAUUUUGGGAGAAUUUUUCAGAAAUUUUGUGCAAACAAAAGCUAUCCUCUACCAAAACUUGUGAAAUUUCGCCCUAGUAUCUGAAAUUUUAUUCUUGGUCCGUAUUGCGCUGAAAAAAAUUCACAAAAGUACUUUCAUAUGUUGUUUGCAACCAGGUAAGGAUGCACGUCCAUAAAGAAAUCACAAAAAGAAGAUACGGGGGAGAAAAGCGAGGACGAUUUGUUUUCGGAAAACCAGUUUUGUUCACUCUCGGUCUAGGACUUACUACGCCUUAAUUCUUGGUUAUUUUGGUAUGAAAUUUUUACCAGACGUUAGUCACUGUGUCUAAUGAGUUUUGGCUGAGAUUUGAGCCACAGAUUCGUCCCACUGUGUCAAUAAAUUUUUUAUUCAUCACUGUCAGGGCUUAGAGGAUGGUUCGUUUGUGUGUGAAACUGUUUGAUUUUUUUCGUGGGUGAAUAUUCAUCCGUUUGACCUGAAAUUUAUCGCAUUUUGUCCCAAAUUAAGUGCAGAUUCUUACGUGAUAUUUCAGGAAAAAAACUAUUUUGGGAGAAUUUUUCAGAAAUUUUGUGCAAACCAAGGCUAUCCUCUACCAAAACUUGUGAAAUUUUGCCCUAGUAUCUGAAAUUAUAUUAUGGGUCCGUAUUGCGUUGAAAAAAAUCACUCAAGUACUUUCAUAUGUUGUUUUCACCCAGGUAAGGAGGCACGUCCAUAAACAAAUCACAAAAAGAAGAUACGGGGGAGAAACACCAAGACGUUUUGUUUGCGGAAAACUAGUUUUGUUCACUCUCCGUCUGGCAAUUACUACCCCUUACUCCUUGGGUAGUUUGGUCUGAAAUUUUUAGCAAACUUUCGUCACUGAUUCUACUGAGUUUUGGCUGAGAUUUGAGCCCCAGAUUCGUUCCACUAGACUGUGAAUAAAUUUUUUAUUCAUCACUGCCAGGGCCUAGACGAAGGUUUGUUUGUGUGUCAAACUGUUUUAUUGUUUUCGUGGGUGAAUACUAAUCCGUUUGAUCUGAAAUUUGUCGCGUUUUGUCCCAAAUUCAGUGCAGAUUUUUACGUGGAAUUUCAGGAAAGAACUAUUUCGGGAGAAUUUUUCAUAAUUUUUGUGCAAACCAACUCUACCAAAACUUGUGAAAUUUGCCCUAGUAUUUGAAAUUUAUUCAGGGUCCGUAUUGCGCUGAGAAAAUUCACACAAGUACUUUCAUAUGUUGUUUUCACCCAGGUAAGGAGGCACGUCCAAAAACAAAUCAGGAAAAGAAGAUACGGGGGAGAAAAUCCAGGACGUUUUGUUUUCGGAAAACCAGUUUUGUUCAAUAUCUGUUUGGGACUUACUACGCCUUACUCCUUGGGUAUUUUGGUCUGCAAUUUUGACCAGACGUUCGUCACUGUGUCUACUGAGUUUUGGCUGAGAUUUGAGCCUAAGAUUCGUCCCACGAGACUGUCACUUAUGUUUUUAUUCAUCACUGCCAGGGCUGAGAGGAAGGUUUGUUUGUGAGUGAAACUGUUUGAUUUUUUUCGUGUGUGAAUAAUUACCCAUUUGACCUGAAAUUUUUCGCGUUUUUUCCCAAAUUCAGUGGAGAUUCUUACGUGGAAUUUCAGGAAUAAACUAUUUUGGGAGAAUUUUUCAGAAAUUUUGUGCAAACCAAGGCUAUCUUCUAUGAAAACUUGUGAAAUUUCGCCCUAGUAUCUGAAAUUUUAUUUUGGGUCGGUAUUGUGCUGAAAAAAGUCACACAAUUACUUUCAUAUGUUGUUUGCACCCAGGUAAGGAGGCACGUUCAUAAACAAAUCACAAAAAGAAGAUAAGGGGGAGAAAAGCCAGGACGUUUUGUUUCGGAAAACCAGUUUUGUUCACUCUAGGUAUGGGACUUACUACGCCUUACUGCUUGGGUAUUUUAGUCUGAAAUUUUUACCAGACGUUCGUCACUGUCUCUACUGAGUUUUCGAUGAUAUUUGAGCCCCAGAGUUGUGUGUGAAACUGUUUGAUUUUUUUCGUGGAUGAAUACUCAUCCGUUUGACCUGAAAUUUUUUGCAUUUUGUCCCAAAUUCAGUGGAGAUUUUUAAGUGGAAUUUCAGGAAAAAUAUAUUUCGGGAGAAUUUUUCAGAAAUUUUGUGCAAACCAAGGCUAUCCUCUACCAAAACUCUUGAAAUUUCACCCUAGUAUGUGAAAUUUUAUUCUGGGUUCGUAUUGCGCUGAAAAAAUUCACACAAGUACUUCAUAUGUUGUUUGCACUCAGGUAAGGAUGCACGUCCAUAUAGAAAUCACAAAAAGAAGAUACGGGGGAGAAAAGCCAGGACGUUUUCUUUUCGGAAAACCAGUUUUGUUCACUCUCGGUCUGGGACUUACUAUGCCAUACUCCUUGGGUAUUUUGGUAUGAAAUUUUUACCAGACGUUCGUUACUGUGUCUACUGUGUUUUGGCUGAGAUUUGAGCCCAACAUUCGUCCCACAAGACUAUCAAUAAAUUUUUUAUUCAUCACUGCCAGGGCUAAGAGGAAGGUUCGUUUAAGUGUGAAAUUGUUUGAAUUUUUUCGUGGGUGAAUAGUCAUCCAUUUGACCUGAAAUUUAUCGCGUUUUGUCCGAAAUUCUGUGGAGAAUCUUACGUGGAAUUUCAGGAAAAAACUAUUGUUAGAAUAUAUGACCUUAAACGAGAGGGGGGUGAAUUGUUUAAGAGGGAUUUUCGCAAAAUUUGAAGGUAUAAUGAAAAUCAAUGCUGAAUUACAAAGAAAAGAAUCAAGGAAACAAAUACCCAAAACUGUUUUAAGAUGAUAUCAGAAAAACAAUUGGUUGUGUUGUCGAAACAAUUGGUUGUUUUUAUCAGCAGUUUAUAAAAACAACUUAAAAACAGAAUUUAAAGAGUUAAGGGAAAGAGAUAAGCACACAGGCAAUUUAUACUGGUUCACUCUUACACCAAGAGCUACAUCCAGUCCCCAGAAACCACUGGGUAUUCCACUAUGCAAUCAAAAUCAGAUUACAAACACCACACACCAAAUUUAUACUUUCUUAUGUUAUUUGCAUCCAGGUAAGGAGGUACGUCCAUAAACAAAUUACAAAAAGAAGAUACGAGGGAGGAAAGUCAGGACGUUUUUUUUUUUCGGAAAACCAGUUUUGUUCACUCUAGGUGUGGGACUUACUACGCUUUACUCCUUGGGUAUUUUGGUCUGAAAUUUUUACCAGACAUUCGUCACUGUGUCUACUGAGUUUUGGCUGAGAUUUGAGCCCCAGAUUCGUCCCACGAGAUGACAAUAAAUUUUUUAUUCAUCACUGCCAGAGCUGAGAGGAAGGGUCGUUUGUGUGUGAAACUAUUCGUUUGUAUAAUGUCUGAUGAUUAGAUUUGGACUUGGACAUUUUUAUAAUGGUUGAGACACUCUUGAAGUGUCGCAUUUUAAUUUUAUUUAUUCAUUGAUGAUAAAAAAACAUCUCAUAAAAUUAUAACCCACCUAAAAAGUAAGAGAAUAUUAUAUACUAAGAUUAUUUUUGGACUUUUUAUAAGUGUUUUCAUUUUAACCCACGUAGUGAAUGAGCUUUCUAGGUUAAGUACAAAAUGCAAACUUUUUAAGGUGGGUUAUUCGCCUUAAUGGUUGUUUUUUGAGUUAUUUUUUAAAGGAUUAUAUGUUUAAUUUAUAAGAACUAACUUUAAAACAUUUUUAACAUAAUUAAAAUAUUUUGUAAGAUCAUGACUAUAUUUGAAAAAAAAAACUUGUUGAAAACUUGAAAAAUUACAUAUAAUGAAAACACUAAACUGAAAGCUAUAAAUGUAAAUUGAAAAAAAAAAUUGAUAUAUUUAAGAUUUGUUUCAUUUAGUCUUAAAUAAAGGGAUGAGACUGAGGUGUUUAUUAUGUAGAAACUAAAACAGACACUACCAAACAAAUAGCAAAACUAAACACAACAUAAUAUCGAAGAGCUGUGUUUAUUUCAUAAUGCAAUGUCUCAUUUUAAAAGGUUUUCUUAAUGAAAUAUUACAUGCUAAACAACGAAAAAAAUACAAUAAACAAAUAAUGUAAAGCCAGGAAGCACAGUGGGGAGUGAGAAACAGGGUAAUUCUAUAAACAUUAAUUUUUCAAAGUCAUUUGAUUCACCAUAUAUCAAAUAGACAUUUGUGUUCUUCACUCCUGAUACAUAACCAAAAGUCACAAAAAUCUAUACCAUGUCUCCAAAUCCUAAAUUUGACAUUAUGCCAUGCCAAUCUUCAUCAUUAAAGGAAAUUACCGUCCUUCGGUUGUGUAUCAGGCACGUGCACUUUGUGUAAUUAACCAUUAAGACACUAGUAAGACAUUCAGGUUCAAUGAUUUCAGAAUUUGAUAAAUAAGCAACCCACAAAGCCAUUCCCUUCAUGUCACGAUCUCGAGCUACAAUGAAACAAACAGAAUGUCCCUCACUCUUAUGGCUCAACCAAUAAGGAUCGUUGUCACCCGGGAGAGAAACAUCACUCGACUCACUGCUGACAGUUAAGAAUUCAUUGCAUGUUCCAACACCAAUAAAAGAAGACCUAGAGUGAUGCUUCAAAAUUCUUGAUUUUAUAGUAUUUAGACCAUAUUCCACCAGAAUACUUUCUACUUCUGUUUGACCUAAAAUUUGUCGAAUUUUGUCUCAAAUUCAGUGGAGAUUCUUACGUGGAAUUUCAAGAAAAAACUAUUUCGGGAGGAUUUUUCAGAAAUUUUGUGCAAACCAAGGCCAUCAUCCUCAAAAUAAACUUGUGAAAUUUUGCCCUUGUAUCUGAAAUUUUAUUUUGGGUCCGUAUUGCGCUGAAAAAAUUUACACAAGUACUUUCAUAUGUUGUUUGCACCCACGUAAGGAGACAUGUUCAUAAACAAAACACAAAAAGAAGAUACGGGGGAGAAAAGCUAGAACGAUUUGUUUUCGGAAAACCAGUUUUGUUCACUUUCGAUCUGGGAUUUACUACGCCUUACUCCUUGGUAAUUUUGGUCUGAAAUUUUUACCAGACGUUUGUCACUGUGUCUACUGAGUUUCGUCUGAGAUUUGAGCCCCACAUUCGUCCCACGAGACUGUCAAUAAAUAUUUUAUUCAUCACUGUCAGAGCUGAGAGGAAGGUUCGUUUGAGCGUGAAACUAUUUGAUUUUUUUCGUGCGUGAAUAGUCAUGCGUUUGACCUGAAAUUUAUCGCGUUUUGUCCCAAAUUCAGUGGACAUUCUUACGUGGAAUUUUCAGGAAAAAAUAAUUUCGGGAGAAUUUUUCGGAAUUUUCGUGCAAACCAAGGCUUUCCUCUACCAAAAUUUGUAAAAUUUCGCCCUAGUAUCUGAAAUUUUAUUCUAGGUCCGUAUUUCCCUGAAAAAAAUCAUACAAAUACUUUCAUAUGUUGUUUGCACCCAGGUAAGGAGGCACGUCCAUAAACAAAUCACAAAAAGCUGAUACGACGGAAAAAAGCCAGGACGUUGUGUUUUCGGAAAACCAGUUUUGCUCACUGUCGGUCUGGGACUUACUACGCCUUACUCCAUGGGUAUUUUGGUCUGAAAUUUUUACAACACAUUUGUCACUGUGUCUAAUGAGUUUUGGCUGAGAUUUGAGCCCCAGAUUCGUCCCACGAGACUGUCAAUAAAUUUUUUAUUCAUCACUGCCAGGACCGAUAGGAAGGUUCGUUUCUGUGUGAAACUGUUUGAUUUUUUUCGUGGGUGAAUACUCAUCCCUUUAAGCUGAAAUUUGUCACAUUUUGUCCCAAAUUCAGUGGAUAUUCUUACGUGGAAUUUCAGAAAAAACUAUUGCAGGAGAAUUUUUCAGAAAUUUUGCGCAAACCAAGGUUAUCCCUCAACCAAAACUUGUUAAAUUUGGCCCUAGUAUCUGAAAUUUUUUUUUGGGUCCGUAAUGCACUGAAAAAAUUCACACAAGUAUUUUCAUAUGUUGUUUGCACUCAGGUAAGGAGGCAUGUCCAUAAACAAAUCACAAAAAGAAGAUACGGGGGAGAAAAGCCAGGACGUUUUGUGUUCGGAAAACCAGUUUUGUUCAAUAUCUGUCUAGGACUUACUACGCCUUACUCCUUGGGUAUAUACGUUCAUCACUGUGUCUACUGAGUUUUGGUUGAGAUUUGAGCCCCAGAUUUGUCCCACGAGACUGUCAAUAAAUUUUUUAUUCAUCACUGUCAGGGCUGAGAGGAAGGUUCGUGUGUGUGAAACUAUUUGAUUUUUUUCGUGGGUUCAUACUCAUUCGUUUGACCUAAAAUUUGUCCCAUUUUGUCCCAAAUUCAGUGGAGAUUCUUACAUAGAAUUUCAGGAAAAAAAAGUAUUUCGGGAGAAUUUUUCAGAAAUUUUGUACAAACCAAGGCUAUCCUCUACCAAAACUUGUGAAAUUUCGCCCUAGUAUCUGAAAUUUUAUUCUGGGUCUGUAUUGCACUGCAAAAAUUCACACAAGUACUUACAUAUGUUAUUUGCACCUAGGGAUGAAGGCACGUGAUGAAGAUCAAGAUCAAGAAGAGAAAGAAGCCGAAGAUGAAGAUGCUCAAAGGAUUAUUAGCUCAUCAUCCUUUUUACCUCAAAGGAUUACAAGGAGCAAAUUUAAAGAAUUAGGAAGUAGUGGUAAAAUGUUUUAUCUUUUUGUAGUAUCUUUUGUAUAAAAUUUAAAAAUGCUUAAUAUAGUGUUUAAGAAGGUUCUAAGAGGGAAACUUAAAGAUACCUCUUGUGUAAAGCAUCUUUAGAUAUUAGCUUUAGAAAAUUCUAGAAAGGUAUCCCUUCCUCGUUCACUUUAGGGGCUAGAAGUGGAAGAGUUACAAGGGAACCUUAGUUAGCUUCUUUUGUAAGCCUCUUGUACUUUCAUGACCGGUCCUUCUCCUAUAUAAGGAGGGCUUGAUUCUUUCUAAAUUCAGAUUUGAUAUUUUGAGUACAGAAAUUCUCCAAAAUUGGUGAGUGAUUGAGAGACUUGUGUCUUCUCUUGUUCUAAUCUUAUCUUGAGAGCAAUCUUGGAACCUCAAGUGGCGGCAUCUACACUCAUCUUGAAGAUUUGCAUCCUUCAAGUGGCGUCUUCCUUUCCAAGGACUCCAACCACAUAAGUUCUCUUCUCCUUUCCAUCUUAUUCAUCCAUUUCCAUUCCCAAAUAAACUCUAAAAACAUGUCUUAGGAUUUUCUAAUCUUUGUAAUCGGUUCAUUUGCUUUUUCUUACACUUUUGUUCGGUUCAUUUGAUUCCUAUCAUGUUUUGUUCAGUUCAUUUCAUUCCUUAAUUGUUUUAAUUGGUUCAUUAGCUUUCUUUCAUGCUUUUGUUCGGUUAAUUUGCUUUCUAGAUAGUUUUAAUUGGUUCUUUCGCUUCCUUGUUCAUUUUAAUUGAUUCAUUUGACAAGAAAUGGGUUUCUACAUGGGUUUUGGCUUGGUUGCUUAAGAUUUGGUGAGUUCUUGAAUGAAAGAACAUUGAUCCAAUUCAAGAUGACUCCAGAACAUGUCUAUGAAACAUCUCUAUCUUCUUAUUGGAAUCAUAUCAGCACAUCCAUAAACAAAUCACAAAAAGAAGAUACGGGGGAGAAAAGCCAGGACGUUUUUUUUUUGGAAAACCAGUUUUGUUCACUCUUGGUCUGGGACUUACUAAGUCUUAUUCCUUGGGUAUUUUGGUCUGAAAUUUUUACCACACGUUCUUCACUGUGUCUAUUGAGUUUUGGCUGAGAUUUGAGCCCCACAAUCGUCCCACGAGACUAUCAAUAAAUUUUUUAUUCAUCACUGUCAGGGGCUGAGAGGAAGGUUCAUUUGUGUGUGAAACUGUUUGAUUUUUUUUUUAUUGAAUAGUGAUCCGUUUGACCUGAAAUUUAUCGUGUUUUGUCCCAAAUUUAGUGGAUAUUCUUACUUGGAAUUUUAGGAAAAAACUAUUUCGGGAGAAUUUUUUAAAAAUUUUGUGCAAACUAAGGCUAUCCUCUACCAAAACUUGUGAAAUUUCGCCCUAGUAUCUGAAAUUUUAUUCUGGGUAUGUAUUGCGCUAAAAAAAUUUACACAAGUACAUACAUAUGUUAUUUGCACCCAGGUAAGGAGGCACAUCCAUAAAGAAAUCACAAAAAGAAGAUACGGGGGAGAAAAGCCAGCACGUUAUUUUUUCGGAAAACCAGUUUUGUUCACUCUCGGUCUGGGACUUCCUACGCAAUACUCCUUGGGUAUUUUAGUAUGAAAUUUUUACCAGUCGUUUGUCACUGUGUCUACUUAAGUUUGGAUGAGAUUUGAGCCCCAGAUUCGUCCCACGAGACUGUCAAUAAAUUUUUUAUUCAUCACUGCCAGAGCUGAGAGGAAGGUUCGUUUGUGUGUGAAACUGUUUGAUUUUUUUCGUAGGUGAAUACUCAUUCGUUUGACCUGAAAUUUGUCGCGUUUUGUCCCAAAUUCAGUGGAGAUUCUUACGUGGAAUUUCUGGAAAAAAUAAUUUCAGGAUAUUUUUUCAGAAUUUUUGUGCAAAUCAAGGCUAUCCACUACCAAAACUUGUAAACUUUCGCUCUAGUAUCUGAAAUUUUAUUCUGGGUUCGUAUUGUGCUGAAAAAAUUCACACAAGUACUUUCAUAUGUUGUUUGGACCCAGGUAAGAAGGCACAUCUAUAAACAAAUCACAAAAAAAAGAUAUGAGGGAGAAAAGCCAGGACGUUUUUUUUCGGAAAAUUAGUUUUGUUCACUCUCGGUUUGGGACUUACUACGCCUUACUCCAAGGGUAUUUUGUUCUGAAAUUUUUACCAGACGUUCUUUACUCUGUCUACUAAGUUUUGGCUGAGAUUUGAGCCUCAGAUUCGUCCCAUGAGACUGUCAAUAAAUUUUUUAAUCCUCACUGCCAGGGCUGAGAGAAAGGUUCGUUUGUGUGUCAAACUAUUUGAUUUUUUUCGUGGGUAAAUACUCAUUCGUUUGACCUAAAAUAUUUCGCGUUUUGUCCAAAAUUCAAUGGUGAUAAUUACAAGGAAUUUCAGGAAAAAAACUCUUCCGGGAGAAUUUUUCAGAAACUUUGUGCAAACGAAGGCUAUCCCCCUACCAAAACUUGUGUAAUUUCGCCCUAGUAUCUGAAAUUUUAUUCUAGGUCCGUAAUGCACCGAAAAAAUUCACACAAGUACUUUCAUAUGAUGUUUGCACCCAAGUAAGGAGGCACGUCCAUAAACAAAUGAAAAAAAGAAGAUACGGGGGAGAAAAGCCAUGAUGUUUGUUUUUUCUGGAAAACCAGUUUUGUUCAAUCUCAGUCUAGGACUUACUACGCUUUACUCCUUGGGUAUUUUGGUCUAACAUAUUUACCAGACAUUCGUCACUGUAUCUACUGAGUUUUGGCUGAGAAUUGAGCCCCAGAUUCGUCCCACGAGACUGUAAAUAAAUUUUUUAUUCAUCACUGCCAGUGCUUAGAGGAAACAUCGUUUGUGUGUGAAACUGUUUUAUGUUUUUUGUGGGUGAAUACUCAUCCGUUUGAUCUGAAAUUUCUCGCCUUUUGUCCCAAAUUCAGUGGAGAUUCUUAUGUGGAAUUUAUUGAAAAAGAAAUUUCGUGAUAUUUUUUUCAGAAAUUUUGUGCAAACAAAGGCUAUAUCCACUACCAAAACUUGUGAAAUUUCGCUCUAGUAUCUGAAAUUUUAUUAUGGGUGCGUAUUGCGCUGAAAAAAUUCACACAAUACUUUCAUAUGUUGUUUGCACCUAGGUAAGGAAGCACGUCCAUAAACAAAUCACAAAAAGAAGAUACGGGGGAGAAAAGAAAGGAGGUUUUUUUUUUGGAAAAUUAGUUUUUUUCACUUUCGGUCUAGGACUUACUACGCCUUACUCCAAGGGUAUUUUGGUAUGAAAUUUUUACCAGACAUUCUUUACUGUGUCUACUGAGUUUUGACUGAGAUUUGAGCCUAAAAUUCGUACCACAAGACUGUCAAUAAAUUUUUUAAUCCUCACUGUCAGAGCUGAGAGGAAGGUUCGUUUGUGUGUGAAACUGUUUGAUUUUUUUCGUGGGUUCAUACUCAUUCGUUUUACCUAAAAUUUGUCGCGUUUUGUCCCAAAUUCAGUGGAGAUUCUUACAUGGAAUUUAAGGAAAAAAACUCUUCCGGGAGAUUUUUCAGAAAUUUUGUGCAAACCAAGGCUAUCCCCUACCAAAACAUGUGAAAUGUCGCCUUAAUAUAUGAAAUUUUAUUCUGGGUCCGUAAUGCGCUGAAAAAAUUCACACAAGUACUUUCAUAUGUUGUGCAUCCAGGUUAGGAGGCACGUCCAUAAACAAAUCACAAAAAGAAGAUACGGGGGAGAAAAGCCACGAUGUUUUUUUUCCAGAAAACCAGUUUUGUUCACUCUGGGUCUGGGAUUUACUACGCUUUACUCCUUGGGUAUUUUGGUCUGAAAUUUUUUCCAAACGUUCGUCACUGUGUCUACUGAGUUUUGCCUGAGAAUUGAGCCCCAGAUUCGUCCUACGAGACUGUCAAUAAAUUUUUUAUUCAUCACUGCCAGGGCUGAGAGGAAGGUUUGUUUGUGUGUAAAACUGUUUGAUUUUUCGUGUGUGAAUACUCAUCCGUUUGACCUAACAUUUGUCGCAUUUUUUCCCAAACUCAGGAAAAAACUAUUUCGAGAGAAUUUUCAGAAUUUUUGUGCAAACCAAGGCUACAAAAAUUUGUGAAAUUUCGCCGUAGUGUCUGAAAUUUUAUUCUAGGUACGUAUUGCGCUGAAAUUUUAUUCACACAAGUACUUUCAUAUGUUGUUUGCAACCAGGUAAGGAGGCACGUCCAUAAACAAAUCACAAAAUGAAGAUAUAGGAGAGAAAAGACAGGACGUUUUGUUUUUGCAAAACCGGUUUUGUUCAGUCUCUGUCAGGGACUUACUACGCUUUACUCCUUGGGUAUUUUGGUCUGAAAAUUUUACCAGACAUUCGCCACUGUGUCUACUGAGUUUUGGAUCAUAUUUGAGCCCCAGAUUCGUCCCACGAGACGGUGAAUAAGUUUUUUAUUCAUCACUGCCAGGGCUGAGAGGAAGCUUCGUUUGUGUGUGAAACUGUUUGAUUUUUUUCGUGGGUGAAUACUCAUUUGUUUGACUUAAAAUUUGUCGCGUUUUGUCCCAAAUUCAGUGGAGAUUCUUACAUGGAAUUUCUGGAAAAAACUCUUCCUGGAGAAUUUUUCAGAAAUUUUGUGCAAAAUUGUUCAGAAAUUUUGUGUGAAUACUCAUUUGUUUGACCAAAAUACCCAAUAAUUUUUCAUAUUCUUACCAAAACUUGUGAAAUUUUACCCUAGUAUCUGAAAUUUUAUUAUGGGUCUGUAUUGUGCUGAAAAAAAUUCACACAAGUACUUUCAUAUGUUGUUUGCACCCAGGUAAGGAGGCACGUCCAUAAAUAAAUCACAAAAAGAAGAUACGAGGGAGAAAAGCCAGGACAUUUUGUUUUCGGAAAACCAGUUUUUUUCACUAUCGGUCUGGGACUUACUACGCCUUCUUCUUGGGUAUUUUGGUCUGAAAUUUUUCACAGACAAUCGUCACUGUGUCUACUGAGUUUUGGCUGAGAUUUGAGCCCCAGAUUCGUCGUACGAGACUGUCGUACGAGAGGAAUUUUCGUUUGUGUGUGAAACUGUUUGAUUUUUUUCUUGGGCGAAUACUCAUUCGUUUGACCUAAAAUUUGUCGCGUUUUGUCGCAAAAUUAGUGGAAAUUCUUACAUGGAAUUUCAGGAAAAAACUCUUUCGGGAUAAUUUUUUAGAAAUUUUGUGCAAACCAAGGCUAUCCCCUACCAAAACUUGUGAAAUUUCACCCUAGUAUCUGAAAUUUUAUUUUGGGUCUGUAAUGCGCUGAAAAAAUUCACACAAGUACUUUCAUAUGUUGUUUGCACCCAGGUAAGGAGGCACGUCCAUAAACAAAUCACAAAAAGAAGAUACGGGGGAGAAAAGCUAGGAUGUUUUUUUUUCGAAAAACCAGUUUUGUUCACUCUCGGUCUAGGACUUACGACGCUUUAUUCCUUGGGUAUUUUGGUCUAAAAUUUUUACCAAACGUUCGUCACUGUGUCUACUGAGUUGUGGCUGAGAUUUGUGCCCCAGAUUCGUCCCACGAGACUAUCAAUAAAUUUUUUAUUCAUCACUGGCAGCGCUGAGAGGAAGAUUCGUUUUGUGUGAAACUGUUUGAUUUUUUUCGUGGGUGAAUACUCAUCCGUUUGACCUGAAAUUUUUCGCCUUUUGUCCCAAAUUCAGUGGAGAUUCUUACGUGGAAUUUUUGGAAAAAACAAUUUCAGGAGAUGUUUUCAUAAAUUUUGUGCAAACCAAGGCUAUCCUCUACCAAAACUUGUGAAAUUUCGCCCUAGUAUCUGAAAUUUUAUUAUGGGUCCGUAUUGCGCUGAAAAAAUUCACACAAGUAUUUUCUUAUGUUGUUUGCACCCAGGUAAGGAGGUAGGUGCAUAAACAAAUCACAACAAGAAGAUACGAGGGAGAAAAGUCAUGACGUUUUUUUUUCGUAAAACCAGUUUUGUUCUCUCUAGGUGUGGAACUUACUACGCUUUACUCCUUGGGUAUUUUGGUCUGAAAUUUUUACCAGACGUUCGUCACUGUGUCUACUGAGUUUUGGAUGAGAUUUGAGCCCUAGAUUCGUCCUACGAGACUAUCAAUAAACUUUUUAUUCAUCACUACCAGAGUUGAGAGGAAAUUUCGUUUGUGUGUGAAACUGUUUGAUUUUUUUUGUGGGUGAAUAUUUCCUCAAACUCUAUGUUUUUUUAAGUGAUCUUUAUUCUGGUUCUUUACUGCUGAUGUUUUGGGGUUUUAGCUGCUGCUUUGUUUAAGCAAAACAUAAGUUUUGUUUUACUACUCUAACCUCUGCCAUAGAUGUUGUACUUUGCUUAAACUUUUCUUUGCAGGAACUGCUUCAGAUUCAAUCAAGUCCAACAAAAGCAACCAAGGAUUUGUUUUCAUCAAAUAGAGGGAGAUUGUUGAAUCCAAAUCCUAGUGUUUGAUGGAAAGCUGGAGGUGCUUGUUGUUGUUGUUGUGCUUGAGAAUAGGAUUUGGGGUAGACUAUAUUUGUAAUCCACUCUUUGUUGAAUCUAAAGCUUAAGUGUUUUCAAAUCUUUUAAGUUUAAAGUGUUUGUCAAACUAAGUGAAAAACAACUUGUUGUUUAGUCGAAACAACCAAUUGUUUUAUACUUGGGUGUUUUUGAAAUUGUUUGAAAACUGUUUUGGAUUGUUGACUUGCUGUCAAACCAAAACAACCGAUUGAUUCGUUAUUUCAACCGAUUGCUUCUUUGAAAUCCUAACAGAAACAAUUUUGUUAGUUAAAUGAGUUUUAAUUGAUUUCAUAACUGAAUAUGCUCCUGCUUUAAAUGUUUUGACCAAGAUUUGAAUACUAUAAAUAGUUUGUUAAUGUUUUAUAACAAACAAGAAGAAAGAAAAACAUAUUUGAGUUUUUCAAAGAUUUCAGUUUUCACUUUGAGCUUUGGCUAUUCAAGAGAGAAGUGGAAUAUGAUUACUUUGUAUUGAUUUCAGUUGAUUUUGUAAUAGUGUAAUUCGUUCUAAAGAGUUGUGUACAUUUUGGUGUUGUAAAACCAAGAAGGGUUGUGUGCUCUUGAGGUUGUCAAGAUCAACAUUCUUGGUGUGUGUGCUGAGCCAAAGGAAGUGUGUUUCUUGAUGGGAUCAAGGUCACUUCUUUGGUGGUGUGUGUAUGUAAUCUGGAUUUGAUUACCUAGUGGAUUCCCAGUGGUUUCUGGGAAACUGAAUGUAGCUCUUGGGUUAAGAGUGAACCAGUAUAAACUGUGAUGGAGAUCAAGUAAGAGAGGAUUUCACUAAUGGAGGAAGAGGCCAUCCACCCAAGCAUUUAAAGUUCUUCCUUCUAGUCUUCUCAAAAAUUAAAGAAGAAUUAAAUAAAGAGAGGACCAAGCCUAAAUCCAACAAGAAGACUACAAGCAUUCAAGAAUGGGCUCCAAUUAAUAUCUCUCUUUAUAGUUUCUUUUGUAUAAAAUUUGUAAAUAAUAUAGAAUAGCUUUAGGAUGUGCUAAAGAGGGAAACCUUAAAGACACCUCCUUUGUAUAGCACUUUAGGCGCUAGUUUUAGGAAAAAUCUAGAAAGGUGCCUUUUCACUCUUCUUUAGGCGCUAGAAUAGGAAGAGUUAGAAGAUCACCUUUCAAAGCUUCUCUUGUAAGCUUCCUUUGUACUUUGUGACCAGCCCUGUCUAUUAUAAAAGGGGUACUUAGGUCUUUGAAAUAAUAAGAUUGAUUUUUGAGAGUAAAGAACCUCUACCAAUUUGGUGAGUGAGAGAGAGAGACUUGUGUCUUCUUCUCUUCUAGUCUUAUCUUGAGUGAAUUCUUGGGCUCUCAAGUGGCGGCAACAACACUCAUCUUGAAGCCAACCAUCCUUCAAGUGGCGUGCACAUUCCAAGAGCUUCAUCCACAUAAGUCCAUUUUCCCUUCAUUCCAAAUUACCCAUUUUUGUUCUACUUGUUUGUUUUCACUUUCAAUCGGUGCAAUCUCUUCCUUAUGAUGUCCUCUUUCAUUAGCUGCACUUAUAUUCAAUUUUAAUCGGUGCAAAUUGGUUGUUCUUGUUGUUUUGGUCACGUCCUCCAUGGGUAUAAAUGCUAUAUGUUGUGUUCUUGAGUUUCUAUCCAUGGGUUUGUUGUUCAAAAUGGGUUUCUAUGUGAGUUUGGCUUGAUUUUUGUGUUUUGGUGAGUUCUUGAAUGUUAAGAAUAUUGAUCCAAUUCUUAAAAAGUGUCUAAUCAUAUUCCAACUCUUGUUGAAUCCAUAACAUGUUCAUAUCAUAUCCAUAUCAUGUUAUUGGAAUCAUAUCAAACUGUUUGUGCAUUUCUCUCUUCCUUAAACUCUUUAAUUUCAUUUGUUGUUGUUUUUACUGGUAUAAACAACCGAUUGUUUAUGCGAAACAAUCGAUUGUUUUUCUGGUGCUUUACUGGUUUGAGCUUUGUUCUUGGCAAACUAAAUUCCUAAAUCUGGUUUCUUGCAAAGAAUUUCAUUCUAUCUUAAAAAGUUUGCGAAAACCUCCUUUAAACCAUUCACCCCCCCCUCUAGUUUAAAGCCGUACAUUCUAACACAAGGGAAGUGGAGUGAGUGAGGCCAACAAAAGAUGUACCUGAAUAUGCAACAGAAGUCGUGGAACUAGGGUUCUGAUCCUCAUACCAUUUAAGAAAUUCAUUGAAAAUAGCAGGCUGGCUUGAGGUAUCAAUUAAUGUAUGGUCCAUAGUAGAAGGUUUCACAGGGGCAGUUUGUGCAACCACAACAGAUUUAGGAGGACGACCAUGUAAGGCAUAACAUCUGUCAAUUUUGUGGCCAAGUUUGCCACAAUGGUCACACUUGUGACGCCCUUUGCCUGGCUUGUGAGGGCGAGGACGAUCAUUAUGUUGAGAGACUAAAGUAGAAGAAUCAUCAACAUGAGACAUUAUAUCAGUGGUGUGUUUACCUGGCACACACAAAAGGGUAGAACAAGUGGAAGUAAAAUUGGGCACGAUAGGAGAUCCCAAAAUUUGAUCAUGAACAUGAUAAUAAUCAUUAGGAAGGCCAUGUGAACCCAAUAACAUGAAGAACUUGGAUCUUUGUUCUAGUUCUUGAGAAGGAGUGGGAGCAUGAGGUAAUAACUCAUUAAAAUCAUGAAGAAAAGCAUGAAGUUUACCAGAUAUUAUGCCAUUGUACCAUCAAGACAUUUGGGAGCAACAAUUGUGAGAAGAUUUUGACACACACCAUAAAGACGUUGAGUAUCAUUGGUGUAUAAUAAUUUUUCUUGUUCCCAAACUUUUGAACAUGUCUCAUAGGUACGAAAUAUUUGUUUUAAAGAUGAGUGAAUGGUAGAUUUUAUAACAAUGCAUAUUUGAGCAUAAAUUUUCAACCAACGGGAAACCUCAUUUUCAGCAACAGUAGGAUGGGUAAGAUGAUCAACAUAUAUAACCUUUUCUCUUAAGCCAUAAUUAAAUAUCUGAUGCCCAAGUGUCAUAAUUGGUUCCAUCCAAUUUGUCAAUGGAGAGAUGAACAUUGAUGUAAUUAGUAUAAAUAGAUGGAUCCGGCAUAAUGACUGCGGAAGAAGCCACAGUGGUAGCGGCAGCGGAAGAAGCCAUAGUGGCAGCGGAAGUGAAAGAAGCCAUAGAGGAUAAGGACAAAUCAAGUCAUUGGUUAAUUGGCGACAACAGCAAAGAUGAAGGCUCUGGCAGCGUCUCUGGCGAAGGCUCCGGUGAGAUUCUGGCGGCGACUCCAGUGAGGGUCUGGCGACGGCUCCGGCGAGGUUCUGGUGGCGGCUCCGGCGAGGUUCCGACGGCGACUCCGACAAGGCAAUGGGGCAGUGGCUGGAAAAUUCCUGUGAAUAGUGGGUUCACCAAAAAUUGAACCCUAACGCUAUGCUUUGAUACCAUUUUAAAGGAAAAGAAAGAAUAGGGUAAAUCUCUUGUGUAUAUUGAACACAUAAGGUUAUAUAAGAAAAGAAACAUAUGGGUUAAGCCCAUUACAUAAAUAUGAAAUAUCUAACAAUAUCUAUAAUAUCUAAUAAUAUCUAAUAAUAUCUAAUUAUAUAUAAUAAUAUGUAAUAAUACUUAACAAUAAUAAAAAUUUAUGCAAUAAAUUUGAGUUAUUAGAAAAUUAAUGUAUUUUUCCCUUUUAAAAUUGUCUUACAAUCAUGCUAGAAUUGUCAGAAAUCCAACAAAUAUUUUUUGAAUUGGACAUUUCACCAAUACGUGUCCCACAAGUGUCGUAUGAGUCUUAGUGUCCAAUACAGGUGUCUAACAUGGACUGAUGUGAUUCCAAUAGCAUAGAAGAGAAUGAUUCUUGACAUUCUUGGGAAUCAACUUGAGUUGGACAAAUGUUAGGCACUUUUUCUUAGAAUUGGAUCAAUGUUCUAAGUCAAGAACUCACCAAAACUAGCACCAAAUCCAAACUCACAUGGAAGUUCCUCAUAUUGUCAAAUUGAACCAACAAAAAGAGGUAAAACUUAAAAUCACCGAACAGAAUUGGACAAGGAACAAACUGAACCGAACAAAAUGAAAUUAAAAGGCAAAGAACUGAAAAUGAUUGCUGGAAAAUAAGAACAAUCGAACCAAAAACUCAAGAACACAAGACAACAUGAACAAUGAGAAGGAAGGAAGGAGAAGAGAAUGCUCAUGAAGAUGGAUGCAAGGUUGGAUGAUCACGCCACUAGAAGGAUGGUUGCUCCUAGAUGAGUGUGCUCCCGCCACUUGAGGACACCAUGGAUCCUUCAAGAUAAGACUAGAGAAGAAGGCUCAAAAGCUCUCCAAUGCACACUCAAAAUUUGAGUAUAGUUUCUUUACUAUUAAUUCCAAUCUGAAUUUUACAAAGGGAGCACCUCUAUUUAUAGCCUAAGGUGCUGAAAUGCAAGCUGCACAAAUUCAAAAACUCCCUCCUAAAAGCUUCUAGAAAUUGGCGCCUAAAAUAAUGCAUGAGGAAGGUGUGACCUCUUCCUUCAUUUUGGCACCUCCUAUUCUACUCCUACACCUAUCUACUAACGCACCCCCCGUAAGACUCCUAACUAAAGACUAAAAGAUGCUUUAACAAUAGAGGUUUCUAAUGUUUCCCUCUAAGCACCUUCAACAAUAUUCUUUAUUAUUUAAUACUUGGCCUUGCCCUUCAUAGGAUGGACUUGGGUUUGGGCUUGGGCUUUGGGCUUGGGCCUCUCUUUAUUUUAUGUCUUCUUUUAAUUUUGAGAAGACUAGAAGGAAGAACUUCAAGUGUGAUGGUGAAUUGCCUCUUCCUUCAUUAAUAGAAACCCCCUUUACUUGACUCUCAUCAUGGGCACACCAUUUAAGAGGAGAGUUUGAGCCUUACAGGACACAACAGCAAGUUUGGUCUCCCAAACCUUGCAUACUACUUACUUCCUUUCCUCAACGACAAAUUUCCUCACCUUUAUUGUUGAGACAGAUUUAAGUCGACCUUUUCAUUAGUUUUGUAUUUGUACAGAUCAUCUCUUUGACUGUGUUGCAUUAUUGUUUUCUCUUCUUCUAACACUUCAUCAACUCAUCAAUUUCUUCUGUGGAAUCGUCAUCUUCAUCAUCAAAUCUGCCAUGGAUGUACGAUGUGCUCAUCAACUUUAAUGGAGAAGACAUCCAAAAGAAAUUUGUUUCUCAUCUUGAUUCUGCCCUCUUUGAUGUUGGCUUCACCACUUUCCUUCACUGCCCCAAUGCACUCAACACAACGCACAUCCAACAACCUAUUCUCAAUCUCUCUCGUGUAACAUUUAUUGUUUUCACCAAAUCCUAUACUCAAUCUGCUUGGUGUCUUCAUCAAUUUCAACAAAUCAUUAAAUGACACAAAACUUAUAGUCUACAUUAUUAAGGAAAUAAUGAUUAUCAAAUUAUACGCAAUUAACUUGAUAAUGAUAGAAUUAUACCCCACCUAUUAUAUAUGUUAUCAUAAUUAUUAUUAAUGUUAGAAAAGAACUACAGUGGACGAAACUCGAAGCCAAUUUCCUUGAGUGACCAAAGAAGCUUUAACCACCACACCAGACAAGUUCUUUUUGUCAUAUUAUGAUUUUUAUUAUACUUAUUAUUAUUAUUAAUAUUAUUAAUAUUAUUAAUAUUAAUAUUAAUAUCAUUUAUAUUAUUAAUAUUAAUCAUAAUAUAACUAUUAUUAAUAUUAUGAAUAUCAUUUAUAUUAUUAAUAUUAUAAACAUUAUAAAUAUAAUUAGUAUUAAUAAUAUUAUUAAAUUUAUUAUUAUUAUUAUUAAUAUUAAUAUUAUCAUUAAUAUUAAUAUUGUUAUUAUUAAUAUUAAUAAAAAUAUGAAUAUCAAUAUUAUCAUUAAUAUCAAUAUUAUUAUUAUUACAAUUAUUAAAAAUAUUUUUUAUGUAAUACUUUAUAUAUGGAUACAAUCUGUAUGUAAUAUUCCCGCUUCAUACGCUUCAUGCAACACCUAAUUUUAUUUUUAGUUUUUUAAUGGGCUGCAACACAUACGAUGGAAUUAGAAAAAAUGUGUUAUAAUUCUAAUUGAAUUUAGAGGGAGACAAUCAAUAUGAAAUAUUAUUAUUGAUACUAAUAUUUAUGUUAUUUUUUUCAUUUUUUAUUUUUUUUAUAAUUUUAAUAUUAUAAAUUUUUCUUUAAUUAAACUAAAAUUACUUUUCUAAUUUAUUUCUAACAACGUAAUACAUCUUAAAAUUAUUUCAAUUCCAUGUAACCUUCUUUUAUAUUUUAAUUUUUAAUUUUUAAUUUAUUUUAGUUUGUCCAUUGCUUUUAUUUCCCAUCAAGAACUAUACGAAUCUAAAUCUAAACCCUAAACCCUAAACGAAUCUAAAUCUUAGUUUUUAAUAUAUUUAAUCUUAUGUAAUGCUCACUUUACAUAUGGAUCUGGACCCGUAUGUAAAAAUCAAUAUGUAACACUUACUUUACAUACGAAUCUGGAUCCGUAUGUAAAAAUUCGUAUGUAAUGCUAACUUUAGAUACAGAUUUGGAUCUGUAUGUAAAAAUCGGUAUGUAACACUUACUUUACAUACAAAUCUGGAUCUGUAUGUAAAAAUCCGUACGUAACGCUCACUUUACAUACGAAUUAUCCGUAUGUAAAAAACUGUAUGUAAUGUUCACUUUACAUACGGAUCUGAAUCCGUAUGUAAUAAUCGGUAUGUAAAUAACAAAUUUCUUGUAGUGUUAUACCCUAUAUAAUGGCGCUGAAAUCAUUUUCAAUGAAUUAAAUUGCGACAUUUAUGACUGACACUAUUUACAUAUAAAAAUCGUCAUUUUAAACAAAGUGUUAAAGUGGCAGGUGUUGCGGAAGGUAGCUUAAGACUGUCACAUUAAACUUUGUGGUGGCCAAUCCUAUGACGGUUUGGGAAACUAUCACACGCGUAUAUUGUGACGUUUAUAAACGCUAGGUUAUACGAAAAUAAUUGUCGCAUUAUACAUCUUUUUUUUAGUGAUUGUUUUAAGAAAAAGAAGUAUAAUAAAAAUAAAUUUGUAAUUAAAUUAUGUGAAAAAUUAUUAAAAUAACAUUAGUAAGAGUUGUUUUAUGGGUGUAAAAUAAAAUUUCGGCAAUGUUAGAAUAAGCUCGAGAAAACAAUUUUUGUUAUGAAGUUUAGGAAAGAUGAAUAUUCAUUUCAAAUAAGACAGAAAAAGGGAGAAUCAAAACAAAAUAUGUUUUUUUUAUAUAACCAUGCCUAAAGCAGUGCAACAUAAAAGUAUGCAGCAGAGCAAAAUGCAAAAAUAGAAUGAGUCAUCAAUAUAAUAUAUAUGUGUACCUACAAAAUAUGUUUUUUUUCUUUAUUUUAAUUUAAAAUAAUAAUUUAAUUGUUAAAGAGUAACUGUAAAAUUUUAUUGUUUUUAAUAUGUAAAGGAUAAAAUUGAAAAAUUAAAUGUAUGUGCAAAAGAGGAAAAUUCUAUUGUUAUAGACUAAUAUUAAUAAUAUUAUUAUUAAGUUAAUAUGAUGGCUAGCAUGGGUUUUUUUGAAAAAUGGGUUUAUUGUAUCAAAGAAUACCUCGAAUCUUCUUCUAUCUUUGUUUUAGUUAAUGAAAGUCCAUCUAAGUAAUUCAAACCGUCUUAGAGGUCUAAGAUAAGGGGAUCCAAUUGCACCGUUCUUAUUCAUAAUUGUGGCUCAAGGCCUAUCAAGUUUAGUAAAUCAAGGGCUACAAAGGAAGUGUUUUCUGAAUUAAAAUUCGGUGCAAAAAAUAUAGAGGUGAAAUUGCUUCCGUUUGCAAAUGACACUUUGAUCAUGUGUAAAUCUAAUAUCCAAAAUAUUAGUGGUAUUAAAGGGAUCCUUAAAUGUUUUGAAAUUUGCUCAGGGCUUAGAAUAAACUUCUUUAAGAGAAAAAUUGGAGCUAUAGGAGUGGACAAAAAUGUGUUAGGAUCUUUCUUUGAGGUUCUCCAUUGCAACAUUAUGAAUAUUCUUUUUUUAUAUCUUAGUUUACCAAUUGGGGGAAAUUCUACUAAGGUUUCUUUUUGUGACCUAGUGCUUACAAAGGUUAAGAAGAGGCUAUCUAUGUGGAAACGUAAACAUCUAUCAUUUGCAGGUCGUGUGUGCUUCAUUCAUUUUGUGUUGAAUGCAACCCCUUGUAUUAUCUCUCUUUGUUCAAAGCUCCAUCAUCUAUAUUGAAAAAAGAUUACAAAGUUACAACGUAAGUUCUUGUGGGGCUGGGAUACUGAAGGAAGGAAAAUUGCUUGGAUUAAAUGGGAUAAUUUAUGUAAACCUAAAGCGAAAGGUGGGUUGGGCAUCAAGCAAAUAGACAUUUUCAACAAAGCUUUAUUUGGAAAAUGGAAAUGGAGACUUGGCUCUCUUGAUAACUGUCUAUGGAAAGAUAUUCUUGCUUCUAAAUAUGGUUCUUGGAGAAAUUUAUCUGAAUCUAGAGUUUCAAAGCAUGCUUCAGGAUGGUGGUGCCAUUUAAACAAAGUGUGUGAGGAUGAGCAGGACAUCAAUUGGUUUGAUUGUAAUAUGGAAUAGGCGGUUGGGUCUGGUGAAAAAGUAAAGUUGUGGGAAGACGUUUGUGUUUAUAUUGUUUCGGUUUAUAAUUGUCAAUUGAAAGCUAGAUUCCCAAGGUUGUUUAAUAACUCUCAUAGAUAAUUCCCAAGCUAGAUUCCCAAGGUUGUGGUAAAUGGAACAGAGACAACUGGGUUGGGAAUUAAAGUGGAGAAGAGAGUGGUUUAAAUGGGAGAAGGCCCAAGUAGAUGAAUUUAUGACUGUGCUGGAAGGUCAAACCUUGAAAAAAGGUAAGGAGGAUAAAUGGUUAUGGAGAGACCCGCAAACCUGUAAGUACUCUGUCAAAUCUGCAUAUGCAUUCGUUUCUAAUUCUAUUCCAAGUGCAUCUAAGGAUAUGUAUAGGGUUAUGUGGGGCUUGUUGGUCCCACCAUCAGCACAAUAUUUUGUUUGGAGAGCAUUGCAAAAUAGGAUCACCAAAAAGCAAAAUUUGAUUAGAAGGUCAGUCCACCUUGCAGAUUCAUUAUGCAUUUUAUGUGGGACGGAGGAGGAAACGUCCUCACACCUUUUCUUAACUUGUCAGAUUGCGAGCGUUGUUUGAAAUUAUUGUAGUAAAUGGAUUGAGGUUAGAUCUGUAAAUCAUUUUUCUUUGAAGGAACACUUUGAACAAUUUCAUUGCCCUUGGCUUAGCAAAGAUGGCAAUAAGUUCUGGAAAUGAGUGUGGGUAUCCAUCAUCUGGUGUAUUUGGAAACAUAGGAAUGAGAUUGUGUUUAACCAAGCAAAAGUGGAUGCGAGUGAAAUCUUUGCCCUGACCCAAAUGCGAUCAUGGACUUGGUUAAAAAACAAGGCUCCAAUAGUGCUUUUUUCUUUUUCCGACUAGGUCCAAUGUCCAAAUACUUGCAUUAAUAUGACAGUAAAACGUUGAUUUCGUGAGGAUAGAGAGGUUGGUAUGUCUUGGCUGGUUUUUCUUCCUUUUUUAGGAUGCUUUGAGAGUAUGUAAUGUACCCUUAAAGCGCAGCGUAUAAGGGUUGAAGCCCCUUUGUGCUCCUUUUCUACUAAUUUAUUUUUUUGCCAAAUAAAAAAAAAAGUUUACAAAGGAUGUUAAGCAUAUUAAUUAAUUCAAUUCAUCUACCUAUAUAUUACGCAUAUCUAUAUGAGUGGUUAAGAGUAAAAUAUUAAAUAAAUUUAUUUUCUCUUUUCUCUCAAUGCCUUCCACUCAUUCUCUUUCUUAUUAAUAGAUUACUCUAUAAAUAGGUUGAUAUUUAUUAUGUAUAGUAUUCUUUGCACACACAUUCCAACUAAGAGUACCUCCUGAUAGAAGGCAUGAAGAUCUCAUCUACGCUUUGAAAAGAAAGAUUAUAUAAGAUAAUCUCUACUCGUGUAAAAGAAAAGUACAAUAAUAUUUUUUACGGCAUGAUUAAAUUAUUAAAUAAAAAAUUGAUUAAAUUAGUAAAUAAAAAAUUGAUUAAAUUUUUGAAAGUUAUAUAACUUUUCACGUUUUUCAUGAGUUUAGACAUGCUAAACUAGCAAGGUAGAAUUCAAAAUCAAUAUAAAUAAAAGAAAAAGAAAAUAUUUGUUUAAUGAUUUUAACAAAAUGAUAUUGAAAUAAUUUUAUAAACUGAUUAUAGAUAAACUGAAUGUUUUUCUAAACUGUAUUUAUACCUACAUUAACCUGUUUUAGAUAUACAUGUGUAAUGUGAAAGAUGAUGAUGUUAUAAGCUUUUAAAACUUUAAGCGUUAUUUGCAUAAAAUAAAAAGGUUCGGCGAUGGUGUGAACGCGCUUCCACGACCACUACAGAAGUAAGUUUUGUGUCUGUACACAUCAUCUCUUUGACUGUUGCAUUAUUGCUUUCUCUUCUUCUAACAGUUGAUCAUGAAGGAAAUUUGUGUCUCAUCUCGAUUCUGCCCUCUCUGCUGUUGGCUUCACCACUUUCCUUCACCACCCCAAUGCACUCAACCCAAUUCACAUCCAACAAUCUAUUCUCAAUCUCUCUCGUGUAGCAAUUGUUGUUUUCACCACAACCUAUUCUCAAUCUGCUUGGUGUCUUCAUCAACUUCAACAAAUCAUUGAAUGGCACCAAACUUAUUGCCGACAUGUUCUGCCCGUUUAUUACGAAAUCCAGCCAUCUGAUGUACGUCUUCAGAUGGGUGAUUUUGGAAAAGCCCUCAAAGCAACUGCACAACAAACAUUCUCACCACAACAACUGGAGCAUGGCAUGUCCAGGUGGAGCCACGCACUCACCAAAACUGCAAAUUUCUUUGGAUGGGAUGAGAACAAUCACAGGUAAAUGACUCACUUAAUCAAUCAUAUUUUAAGCUUGUAAUACAAUUUUGUUAGUACAUGACUUCUUCUAUAAUUGCUAUUGAACUUGAAGGAGUGAUGCAGAACUAGUGGACAAAAUUGUUAAGAUCGUUCUUAAUUUAUCAAUCUUGUCUGCUACUAAAUUUCCAGUUGGAUUACAAUCCCGUGUGGAGGAUGUGAUUCAAACCAUAAAAAGUAAAUCCACCCAAGUUUUUACGAUAGCGAUAUGUGGAAUAGGAGGAUCGGGUAAAAGCACCCUUGCCAAAGCCAUCUAUAAUCAAAUUCAUGGUACAUUCACGGAGAAAAGUUUCAUUGAAGAUAUUGGACAAUUUAGUGGAAUAAGAGGGGAUCUUCGUUUACAAGAACAACUUCUUUCAGAUGUCCUAAAAACGAAGGUGAAGAUAAGCAGUGUUGAGAUGGGAAAAAAAAUGAUUCGGGAAAGACUUUCUGGGAAAAGAGUGUUCAUUGUACUUGACGAUGUGAAUGAGUAUGGUCCAUUAGACCUAUGGGGAAGUAGUUCAUGGUUAGGUGAAGGAACUGUAAUAAUCAUUACAGCGAGAGAUGAAGACCUACCGAAUAUGCUUCGAGUUGAUUAUGUUUAUCCGAUGAUUAUGAUGAACGCAAACGAGUCCGUUGAGCUUCUUAGUUGGCACGCAUUUAGAGAACCAAAACCAAAAAAAGAAUACUAUUUACUUGCAAAAAGAGUAGUUGCUUAUUGUGGAUCACUACCUCUAGCUCUUGAAGUCAUUGGAACUUAUUUAUAUAAAAGGACGAAAGAAGAAUGGAAUACAGUAUUGAUAAGAUUAAACAAUAUUCCCCAUAAUGAAGUUCCACAGAUAUUGAAAAUAAGCUUCGACGGUUUACGUAAUCAAAUAGAGAAAGAUUUAUUCCUUGAUGUAUGUUGUUUCUUUGUUGGUAAAAGCAGAGCCUAUGUUACCAAGAUCCUAAAUGGCUGUGGAGUAGACCAUGAUAGUGGAAUAAGAGUUCUCAUAAAGCGUAACCUCAUCAAAGUUAAAGAAAACAACAAAUUUGGAAUGCAUCAUUUGCUAAGAGAAAUGGGAAGAGAAAUGAUUCGUGAAAUUUCAGGAAAGGAAUCUGGAAAGAACAGUCGACUGUGGCUUGAGGAGGAUCUAAAACAUGCAUUGUCAGAGAACACUGUAAGAACAUUCUUAAUCUAUGGUUUUGAAACUUCUUUUGAAAGUGGUUGAUUUCUCAUGUGCAAUACAAAUAUUUUUCUUAGCUCUUUUCAUCACCGGGCACAAAAGUCAUUCAGAGAUUGUCUAGCGGAAGAGAUUUCUUCGAACGUUAUCCUGUAGAGGUAAGAGACCCAUCAAAACUGCUUAAACUCGCUGGAGAUUCUGAGUACCCUUCUAAGAAACUGAGAGGGAUCAGUCUGCAAAGGUUUUCUUCAGAAUACUUACCUAACGACUUUAAUCUGCAUGAUGCAAUAGCGAUUGAUUUAAAACACAGUCUUCUUCGAUUCGUCUGGAAAGAAACCCAGGUUUUUAUUAUGUGCCAUUUUCUUUUAAAGCUCAGCUUAAAAUAGAAAUAUUAUUUCUUUCCACUUAUAACUAUUUUAUUUUUUUCAUUUUCUAUUUUAAUAUUCUUGAAGGUUUUGGCUUGUCUAAAAGUCUUGAAUCUUAGUCACUCGAAGUACUUGACAAAAACCCCUGACUUUUCGAGACUACCAAGUCUUGAACACCUCAUUCUCAAAGAUUGUCCUAGAUUGCGCGAAGUACACCAAUCUAUUGGUUGUCUCUGCAAUCUUAUACUACUAAAUUUGAAGGACUGUACAAGUCUAAGCACUCUCCCCAGUGAGAUAUGUAAGUUGAAAUCCUUGAAAAAUCUCAUUAUAUCUGGUUGUUUGAAAAUUGACCUAUUGGAAAAAGAUAUAGUGCAAAUGGAAUCCUUGAGAACUCAAAUUUCUGAAAAUACAGAUGUGAAACAAGUGCCUUUUUCAAUUGUAUGCUCAAAAAGCUUUGCAUAUUUAUUCCUACCUAGAUUUGAAGGAUUAUCACAUAAUCUUUUUCCUUCUGUGAUUCGGUCUCUGAUGUCGCCAACAAUGAAUCCCUUAUCUUAUAUUCAUUCCUUCAUGGAUAUGGAGGAUAAUAGUUGGGAUGAUAUUUCACCAUUGCUUGGCAGCCUUACAAAUCUUCGAAGUGUUUUGGUGCAAUGUGACGCCAAGUUUGAACUAUAUGAGCAAGUAAAAACUAUAUUGGUCGAAUAUGAUGCAAAUAUUACAGAAUCAGGAAUUUCAAAGCAUAAGUUCAGGUCUUCUCUGACUGGCGUUGGAAGAUACAAAGAAUUCUUCAAUACUAUCAGCGAUAGCAUACCUAAGGUUCUUCUCUAGCCUUCCUUUGCUUAUAACCUUCACCAUCAUUUUAGCUAUUAUUUUUUAGAACAGAAAAUAAUCCUAAUGAAGUAUUUAGUAGAAACUACGCUACUGAACUUUUAGCACCCUUCGCUUCUAUAGCCCCGCGACUUCAUCUAAAAGUAUCUGAGUUGAAUAAUCAAAGAACCAAGUGAUUAUGCUUAUACUAAGUACUUUGAAAUUGAUUUCCACUUUAUUGCUUUACUAGCUUCAUGGUUUUUUUAUUCCUAAUGAUCGUAUAAAUAUAAACUAAGAGAGACAAAAACAGAAAUGCAAAAUGAUGGUGAUAUAUACACAACAAAACUAUUAACCAGAUUUGUUUUAAUCAUGUAUAACAUUUUUGUUUCACUAAACAUGCCCUUGUUUGUCACGUGAUACAGGUAUUUGCAAGCAGUGAGUCAUGUGAUGUUUCUCUGCCAGGUGACAACGAUCCUUAUUGGUUGGCCCAUAUGGGUGAUGGACAUUCUGUUUCUUUCACUGUGCCUCAAGAUCGUGAGGUGAAGGGAAUGGCUUUGUGUGUCGUUUAUUCAUCAACCUCCGAAAUCAUUGAACCUAAACAUACUACUGUCUUAAUUGUUAAUUACACGAAGUGCACAUGCCAGAUACACAACCAUGGCACAGUAAUUUCCUUUAAUGAUGAAGAUUGGCAUGACAUAAUGUCAAAUUUAGGAUCAGGAGACAAGGUGGAGAUUUUUGUGACUUUUGGUCAGGAUUUGGUGAUUAAGAGCACAGCUGUCUACCUGAUAUAUGGUGAGCCAAGGAAAAAUUCCCUCAUUAGAUUCAUAAAGAAAAUUGUAAUGUGACUUUUCUGGUAAGUCAUUUAUCUUCUUUUUGAACAGCAGGAUCAUUUUUUUCCCAUCUUUUCUUUUGUUUAUAGUGUAGCUUAUAGUUAAGAAAUUCAUGUUUAUUUCAUCCUGUUUUCACUCCUUAGUGGUGCUUCCUUGGCUUUGCGUGAGCGGUUUAUUGUAUUUGUUUUCUGGAUUUUACUUUUGUCAAUUAUUUUCCCUUUUAGCAUAUAAUAUUUCAAUAGGAAUCCUCUUAAAAUAAGACAUUGCAUUAUGAUAUAAAGACAGCUGCAGUUUGAUAGUUUGCUAUGUGUUUUGUUUUGUUAUCUGGUAGGUAGUCUCUGUUUUCGUUUGAAUAUAAUAAACAUUGAAAGAUGAGUACAUUUUUUUAUAGUGGUGCAAGCACGUUUAAAAAAUUCGACCAACGCCCGCCUACUUUGAACCACUGGAAAAAUAAAUAUUAUGCUAAUACCAAUGAAAUUUUGUCCAAUAUAUUCCUUUUUCUUUAUAUAUUAUGCGUCCACUUUUUUAAGUUUUAAAAUAUAACACAGGCAUCUUUGUUUACAUUACCCAUUCAUCUCGUUAAGAUAAAUCAUUGUAACAAAAUAAAAAAAAGUAUACAUAUAAUUUGAGAAAAAAUACGACAGGUCAUUUUUUAUAAAUAAGAAGAAACAGGGUAAAAUAAACAUGAAUUUGUUAACUGUAAACUAUACUCAAAGAAAAACAAGGAUAGGAUCAUAGGAUUAAUUCCAUAAUAAGGCAGUUGUUUGACCGUUGUAUUUUCAGCAAUUACAGUUAUCAAGGAUUUCAUUCGCACUAUAUCAUUCGACAGAGUUUUUAAGGAUUUUAACUUAUAUUUCUUUCUGGGAAGAUUGCUUUAAAACGAGAUGGUUAUAAGUGGAAACAAAUAAUGAUUUUAAAAGAGAAUGGCACGUAAUAAAAACCUGGGAUUCUUUCCAAACGAAACGAAGAAGACUGUGUUUUAAGUCAAUCACUAUUGCAUCAUGCAGAUAAAUAUCGUUAGAUAGGUAUUCUUAUAAAGGUACUCCGAAUGUCCAGCGAAUUUCAGCAGUCUUGUUGGGUCUCUUACCUCUAAAGGAUAACGUUCCAAGAAAUCACUUCCGGUAGGCAAUCUCUGAAUCACUUUUGUCCUCCUAGAUGAAAAGAGCAAAGAGAAAGAAGUAUAUUGCACAUGAGAAAGCAACCACUUCCAAAAGAAGUUUCAAAACCAUAGAUAAAGGAUGUUCUUACCGUAUUCUCUCACAGUGCAUAGUCUGCAUCCUUAUUAAACAACAGUUGACUGUUCUUCCCUGAAAUUUGACGAAUAAUUUAUCUUCCCAUUUGUCUUCCUAAUUUGUUGUUCUUAUUAUGAGACUACGAUAUAUGAGAACUCUUAUUCCACUAUCAGCGUCUAUUCCACAGCCAUUUAGGAUCUUAGUAACAUAGACUCUGUCCUUACCAACAAAGGAAAGAACAUACAUCAAGGAAUAAAUCUUUUUCCAUUUCUUUGUGUAACCCGUCGAAGCUUGUUUUCAAUAUUGUGUAAAAUAAAUAUGAAUUUAACUAUGAGCUAUACUCAAAGGAAAACAAGGAAAGGAUCAGAAAGAUAAAUUGCACUAGAGGACACAAGGAUUAAUUCCAUAACUCAAGGGAUCCUGCUUUUCUCAAAGAAGAUGAAUUGUAAUAAGGACACAGGGAUUGAUUCCAUAACUCAACGGAUCCUGUUAUGUUCUCAAUGAAGAACAUUAACUUAGCAGAAGUCACACAUUACCAUUUUCUUAAAGAAUUUAAUUAAGGUAUUUUCCUUUGGCUCAGGCCAAGAAUCCAUUUCCAAGUCAUUUGAUUCACCAUAUAUCAGAUAGGCAACUGUGUUAUUGACCACCAAUCCAUGACCAAAAGUCACAAAAAUCUCCACGUUGUCUCCUGAUCUUAAACAUGAAAUUACGCCAUGCCAAUCUUUAUCAUUAAAGGAAAUUACUGCGUCAUGCUUGUGCAUAUGUAACGUGCACUUUGUGUAAUUAACAAUUAAGACAGUAGUAAGUUUGGGUUCAAUGAUUUUGGAG
rnacentral:lncRNA from 1 species